UACGUAGGUGGCAAGCGUUAUCCGGAAUUACUGGGCGUAAAGCGCACGCAGGCGGUCUGUUAAGUUUGACGUGAAAGCUCCCGGCUUAACUGGGAGAGGUCGUUGAAGACUGGCAGACUUGAGGCGAUGAGAGGGGUGUAGAAUUCCCGGUGUAGUGGUGGAAUGCGUAGAUAUCGGGGGGAAUACCAGUGGCGAAGGCGGCCAUCUGGGACAACACUGACGCUGAAGCACGAAAGCGUGGGGAGCAAACAGG
rnacentral:rRNA from 1 species